UCACCAAACAUGGCAUUCUCAUCCCCCUAUCGCCUGGCUCUGCUGAUGCUCCUAUUGGCAACCUCAAUUUCUUCGAGCGCCCAGCGUGGCUUCUUCGUCCUCCUUGCAGGUCAGCAUGUAGUUGCCACUACCGCAGCUGCCGGCAUCCCAUUCCCAGCAGCGCAUGGCCAGACUAGCACGUCGCCACCGUCGCCGUGGUCUUCGGCACCACCACUGACGCUUCUCGGGGACAGGGCUCCUCUUCAAACUCCGCCGCGGCCGGAGCCGGCGAGGAACCGCAGAGGUUCUCCGCUGCCACCCUAGGCGACGUGACAUGCCGUUCGUCGACAGUACUGCCGGCCGUCGGUGCUGCGACCACGACGAUAUCACAGUUGCGCAGCAACGACAGGCCAAUCUUUAGCUUCGGUGUGCCAGUUUCUGGCGUGCUACUUUGUCUCGGAAUGGCUGGUCUAGAUAGUAGGUGCAGCGUUGACGUCUAAGGAUUAAUCCGUACACAGGACAUCUAGUUUGUAUUUUAACAAUCAGUUCAAUAGAAUUCCCGUUCAUUUUUUUUACAGUUACUAGAUUAUCCCCAUCCGUACAUGUGACCCUUAGCUAGGCACAUGGGCCUGUGGCAGUUGUUGUCAUGGGCGGCGCCAUGAAUUUCUGCAAUUGUCACGAGUACGAUGGCCAAAACACUGAACCCAGCUCAUCGCCUCACCCACACCCACACCCGCACCACCGGUGCAUUGAACAUAAGUUGUCUCUUCUCUAUAAAUUCAAUCAACCAAAGCUCCAACGGUUCCGGACCAUCGCAGCUAGCUCGCCCAUUAUUCGCCGGCAUGGGAAGAUUCCCCUUCCUCUGCUGCUCGGUGGCUCAAGCCUCAAGCUCUCUUGGUAGCAGUAUUUGUGGUGGUGGUCUCGUCGAUCGCCGACCAUGAACUGCCGGUGCCGGCGCGUGCCUGUCACGGCGACGAAGCUCCACCGCUGUUGGGACUUCUCGGUUCGAGGCCGCGUGGAGGUCCGCCACCGCCACGAUCGGCACCGUCGCACCAGCCGGUGGUUAUGCCCCCUCCGCCGCCGCCACACUACCCGUAGCCGUAGCUCUAGCGGAAGGGUUAUUAGGCAUCGAUCAGCUUGUUAGCCUCGUCGCCGGUGGGUGUGCUAGGGAGGCUGCCGGUGAGAGCGUCGCCGGCGCCAAAGCCGUCCCUCCGGACCGCCGCUGCUGGUUUAUCCUGCGGAACCGAAAUUCCUGAGACGGCAUGCCUGGCUGUCGGCUCGUGCCCAGUUUUCUCGUUGCGCACCUUGUGCUGCAUGACAUGACAUAUUGACAUGCGUGUCUCACUUCGAAUUGCAGGCACCGAUGUCAUGUGCUGCUGUAUGUCACGCUUGUGCCUGGUCGGUCCUUCAGCUAAGCUCUACUGAUCUUCCUAGUAGUCGGUCACAGCCGAAAACUCUUUUGAGCGCCGACCGGCGCCUCAUCCUCACCGGAGAGCACGUUGACAUUGCCACUUUGCCAGGAUGCCCGCAGCAGCUCUACAGACCAUCUGAUCCUCCUACUGUCCAAGCUCUUCGCCAUCAUGGAGAUAACGGUGUGCCGCUGUCGCUAAAGUCUGUCUAGUACUUGGAUUACACUCAAUUAUCAUAGAUUUUGAUGUAUAAAGAGCAUUAUGUUCAGAUUGAUUACUCUGUUCGAAGUAUCAAAAGUUCAUUAUGCUGAGAUUCAUUACUCCGUUU